UUAUUAUUAUUUCUUACUUUUACAGAGAGGGACAGCAUUAUCCCAACCUUCUGUGUGGCAGUUACGAUGACUUACACUGCUGGCCAUUUCAAACCUAUUAAAAACAAAUAAUGAAAAGGUUGCAGUCUGUCCAUUUUUCCUGGAAUCACAAGGCACAGUGCAGUAACGCAUCUUGGACAGGGCACAAAUACAUUGCGAGACCUAUUUUAUAGCCUUUGUGUUGGAGACCCCGACAUAUGUAAAGAAGAAGUGGGAGA